AACGAACGCUGGCGGCAGGCCUAACACAUGCAAGUCGAACGCACCUUCGGGUGAGUGGCAGACGGGUGAGUAACGCGUGGGAACCUACCUUUCGGUACGGAACAACAGUUGGAAACGACUGCUAAUACCGUAUACGUCCUUCGGGAGAAAGAUUUAUCGCCGAUAGAGGGGCCCGCGUUGGAUUAGCUUGUUGGUGAGGUAACGGCUCACCAAGGCGACGAUCCAUAGCUGGUCUGAGAGGAUGAUCAGCCACACUGGGACUUAGACACGGCCCAGACUCCUACGGGAGGCAGCAGUGGGGAAUAUUGGACAAUGGGCGCAAGCCUGAUCCAGCCAUGCCGCGUGAGUGAUGACGGCCCUAGGGUUGUAAAGCUCUUUCAGUGGUGAAGACAAUGACGGUAACCACAGAAGAAGCCCCGGCUAACUCCGUGCCAGCAGCCGCGGUAAUACGGAGGGGGCUAGCGUUGUUCGGAAUUACUGGGCGUAAAGCGCGCGUAGGCGGGUCUUUAAGUCAGAGGUGAAAUCCUGGGGCUCAACCCCAGAACUGCCUUUGAUACUGAAGAUCUUGAGUCCGGAAGAGGUUAGUGGAAUUCCCAGUGUAGAGGUG
rnacentral:rRNA from 1 species